rnacentral:rRNA from 1 species
GGGUUGUGAGGUUAAGCGACUAAGCGUACACGGUGGAUGCCCUGGCAGUCAGAGGCGAUGAAGGACGUGCUAAUCUGCGAAAAGCGCCGGCGAGGUGAUAUGAACCUUUGACCCGGCGAUGUCCGAAUGGGGAAACCCAGUGCAAUUCGUUGUACUAUCGUUAACUGAAUACAUAGGUUAACGAGGCGAACCGGGGGAACUGAAACAUCUAAGUACCCCGAGGAAAAGAAAUCAACCGAGAUUCCCCCAGUAGCGGCGAGCGAACGGGGAGCAGCCCAGAGUCUGAAUCAGCUUGUGUGUUAGUGGAAGCGUCUGGAAAGUCGCACGGUACAGGGUGACAGUCCCGUACACGAAAGCACACAGGCUGUGAACUCGAAGAGUAGGGCGGGACACGUGGUAUCCUGUCUGAAUAUGGGGGGACCAUCCUCCAAGGCUAAAUACUCCUGACUGACCGAUAGUGAACCAGUACCGUGAGGGAAAGGCGAAAAGAACCCCGGCGAGGGGAGUGAAAAAGAACCUGAAACCGUGUACGUACAAGCAGUGGGAGCACCUUCGUGGUGUGACUGCGUACCUUUUGUAUAAUGGGUCAGCGACUUAUAUUCUGUAGCAAGGUUAACCGUAUAGGGGAGCCGAAGGGAAACCGAGUCUUAACUGGGCGUUAAGUUGCAGGGUAUAGACCCGAAACCCGGUGAUCUAGCCAUGGGCAGGUUGAAGGUUGGGUAACACUAACUGGAGGACCGAACCGACUAAUGUUGAAAAAUUAGCGGAUGACUUGUGGCUGGGGGUGAAAGGCCAAUCAAACCGGGAGAUAGCUGGUUCUCCCCGAAAGCUAUUUAGGUAGCGCCUCGUGAACUCAUCUUCGGGGGUAGAGCACUGUUUCGGCUAGGGGGCCAUCCCGGCUUACCAACCCGAUGCAAACUACGAAUACCGAAGAAUGUUAUCACGGGAGACACACGGCGGGUGCUAACGUCCGUCGUGAAGAGGGAAACAACCCAGACCGCCAGCUAAGGUCCCAAAGUCAUGGUUAAGUGGGAAACGAUGUGGGAAGGCACAGACAGCCAGGAUGUUGGCUUAGAAGCAGCCAUCAUUUAAAGAAAGCGUAAUAGCUCACUGGUCGAGUCGGCCUGCGCGGAAGAUGUAACGGGGCUAAACCAUGCACCGAAGCUGCGGCAGCGACGCUUAUGCGUUGUUGGGUAGGGGAGCGUUCUGUAAGCCGUUGAAGGUGUCCUGUGAGGGGUGCUGGAGGUAUCAGAAGUGCGAAUGCUGACAUAAGUAACGAUAAAGCGGGUGAAAAGCCCGCUCGCCGGAAGACCAAGGGUUCCUGUCCAACGUUAAUCGGGGCAGGGUGAGUCGACCCCUAAGGCGAGGCCGAAAGGCGUAGUCGAUGGGAAACAGGUUAAUAUUCCUGUACUUGGUGUUACUGCGAAGGGGGGACGGAGAAGGCUAUGUUAGCCGGGCGACGGUUGUCCCGGUUUAAGCAUGUAGGCGGAGGUUCCAGGUAAAUCCGGUACCUUUUAACGCUGAGGUGUGAUGACGAGGCACUACGGUGCUGAAGUAACAAAUGCCCUGCUUCCAGGAAAAGCCUCUAAGCAUCAGGUAACACGAAAUCGUACCCCAAACCGACACAGGUGGUCAGGUAGAGAAUACCAAGGCGCUUGAGAGAACUCGGGUGAAGGAACUAGGCAAAAUGGUGCCGUAACUUCGGGAGAAGGCACGCUGAUAUGUAGGUGAAGCCCCUGCGGGUGGAGCUGAAAUCAGUCGAAGAUACCAGCUGGCUGCAACUGUUUAUUAAAAACACAGCACUGUGCAAACACGAAAGUGGACGUAUACGGUGUGACGCCUGCCCGGUGCCGGAAGGUUAAUUGAUGGGGUUAGCGGCAACGCGAAGCUCUUGAUCGAAGCCCCGGUAAACGGCGGCCGUAACUAUAACGGUCCUAAGGUAGCGAAAUUCCUUGUCGGGUAAGUUCCGACCUGCACGAAUGGCGUAAUGAUGGCCAGGCUGUCUCCACCCGAGACUCAGUGAAAUUGAACUCGCUGUGAAGAUGCAGUGUACCCGCGGCAAGACGGAAAGACCCCGUGAACCUUUACUAUAGCUUGACACUGAACACUGGUCCUUGAUGUGUAGGAUAGGUGGGAGGCUUUGAAGCGUGGACGCCAGUCUGCGUGGAGCCGUCCUUGAAAUACCACCCUUUAAUGGCUGGUGUUCUAACGUAGACCCGUAAUCCGGGUUGCGGACAGUGUCUGGUGGGUAGUUUGACUGGGGCGGUCUCCUCCCAAAGAGUAACGGAGGAGCACGAAGGUUAGCUAAUCCUGGUCGGACAUCAGGAGGUUAGUGCAAUGGCAUAAGCUAGCUUGACUGCGAGAGUGACGGCUCGAGCAGGUGCGAAAGCAGGUCAUAGUGAUCCGGUGGUUCUGAAUGGAAGGGCCAUCGCUCAACGGAUAAAAGGUACUCCGGGGAUAACAGGCUGAUACCGCCCAAGAGUUCAUAUCGACGGCGGUGUUUGGCACCUCGAUGUCGGCUCAUCACAUCCUGGGGCUGAAGUAGGUCCCAAGGGUAUGGCUGUUCGCCAUUUAAAGUGGUACGCGAGCUGGGUUUAGAACGUCGUGAGACAGUUCGGUCCCUAUCUGCCGUGGGCGCUGGAGAAUUGAGGGGGGCUGCUCCUAGUACGAGAGGACCGGAGUGGACGCAUCACUGGUGUUCGGGUUGUCAUGCCAAUGGCACUGCCCGGUAGCUAAAUGCGGAAAAGAUAAGUGCUGAAAGCAUCUAAGCACGAAACUUGCCCCGAGAUGAGUUCUCCCUGACCCUUUAAGGGUCCUGAAGGAACGUUGAAGACGACGACGUUGAUAGGUCGGGUGUGUAAGCGCAGCGAUGCGUUGAGCUAACCGAUACUAAUGAACCGUGAGGCUUAACCUUACAACGCCGAAGCUGUU